rnacentral:tRNA from 2 species
GCCGAAGUGGCGGAACUGGCAGACGCGCUAGGUUCAGGGUCUAGUGGUGGAAACGCCGUGGGGGUUCGAGUCCCCCCUUCGGCACCA